UCGACCUCCUAAAUCCUAAACCAUAAGGUUUGCUCUCCGAAGUCCGCCCUCGCGCCGCCGUCGAUCUGUUCGUCAGGGGAAAACUGAGUUAAAUCCAGCUAUGACAUUGUAGAUCUUUACAAUUUCAUUGAUGGUUCUGUUGACAUGAGUGCAUUGAUGUGCAAAAAGAACAAAAACUGGCAAAACUGAAGUCCAGAAACUUACAUGAAAAAUGCCAGUCACAGAGUAAUUUCCUCAUCUUGAAUCAUUUCAAGAGGAAAUGUACAUUUUACAGUGUAACUUCCUCAUCUUGAUUAUUUUCUAGAGGAUGACAUAAACAUUGUCUCAAAGAUAGAAUAGCUGAUCUUGAGGGCAUUUCAUAGCCACAUAUACAACUGUCACUGACAUAAUUCAUGUAAUAUGGUGUCCUUAACUACUUGAUGCUGUUUGGUUAAUUGUUUCAAACACAAUGAAUGUUGAAGGAAAACAAUGAAUGGCAGCUGAGAAUUGUAACUUGUUUUUAUUAUUGUUGUUCACUUUAUCAGUGGAAUGUAUAUAAUGCAUGGAAAUACUAGACUAUGUUAAUUUAUCCUUGUAAUCUAAUUUGAAGAUAACAACACUGUAUUUUUUUUGCCUAACUCUGUCACAGAUUAUUAUUUUGGCUGAACACUAUCAAGCCCUUUGCUCAAUUUUCGACAGUUUCAUCACUGCCUCCUCUGUUAUCUUCAUUCUUCGGCGGAAUAUCUAUGGACUAUUGUCAAAAAUUGGAAGUUCUAGAGGUACAAACACAAGAACUCCCUCUUUUCUUAUUUCUCAACUAUUGUUAACUCUAUUUCUUCAUAUGAUUGAGGAUAGGGUUUUUCUGUUAUCACCAUAGUAUCUGGCAUCAUUGUGUAUUUUGUUGAUAACAUUAUUGUAUAGAUUGAUCCCCCUC